UGAAAACUCAAAUCGAGUUGCUUACUUU
rnacentral:sRNA from 1 species